rnacentral:lncRNA from 1 species
GUUAUAUGAAGCAAAGCCCCUGCUACUGACACCGUAUCCUGCCUGCAGCUCUUCUGGAUCUGUGGAGCCAUUACAGUGAGUGCCUUUUACGAGACAUUGCCUCUGAUACUACUAUCAGACUCUCCAGACAUGAUACCAUGAGAGAGCUGCCAGUGUGCUGCUGUUGCAUAGUAUGUCACUGAAUUUUUCCAUAACAUGGCUGAAACUGUCACAAGAAAUAGCUUAGAUUUGGGUGGUAUGUGAGUGCACACAGCUUGUGUGCUGGGGGAGCUGCUUAAAGCAGUGAAAAUCACCAUUUCAUAGUAAGAACUAAGGGACUUAACCCGCGUUUCUUUUAUUGUUGCCAAUGGCAGCUUCCUUUAUCCAAAGAGAGUAAAAUAUGCUUUUAAGUGCUUGCAAAGCCCUGGAAUGUGUGGUUUACAACAGUAUUAAGAACUGACCUAUAAUUACAAAUAGACGUGGCACUAGUAAUUUAUUUGGUAAGCUCCUGAAAUGCUGACUAUUUCAUUCCUUCUUAUAGAUUGAAUUUCGGUUGUACGAAAGCAGGCAAAGCAGAGGGUCAUGGUUUUCCCCUGCCUCCCCUUCUCUCAGGAAUUCAAACAAAGCAUGUUUUCUUCUGCACACGGGCUGAAUCUGAACAUUUCCUUUACUUCAGAAUCCAUGGUACCGAAGCAUACUGGGCUCUGUCUGAUCCAAGCUGAUGCUUAUGCUGUCAGCUGAUUUCCAGAGAUUUCUCCAGAAAUGUUUUUCAUGUCAUUAUUUUAGCAGUUACUUAAAAGUGAAAUGUCUUACUUUGACCUAACACAGGAGAUGGAACCUUCUGCCAAGAGACUGACAGUAAGCAUAGGUUUAAAAUUUCUCAGAGUCAUGUUAUUAAUGGGGGCGUCUUCAAAACAGCUUAAUUAGUAACAAUGUAUUGGUUAUAGCUGUAAAAAAUCUCAUUAAUUUGUAGAAUUGCUGUGAUCAGAAUUCACUUACAGCUCUUACAAGAAGUUUAUGGGAGUACUUGCUUAAGGCUCAAGUGAAACAUAAUAUUUGGCCAUAAUCCAAUUCAUAGUGCUGCACAGUCAGGAUUUCCUCCAAUGACUCAUUCAUACCCCUACUGAAUUGAAAAGGAUACAUGUGUAAAUCAACAUUAAACUUAAACUCCAAGACUUUUG